GAUGAACGCUGGCGGCGUGCUUAACACAUGCAAGUCGAACGGAGUGCUCAUGACGGAGUUUUCGGACAACGGAUUGGGUUACUUAGUGGCGGACGGGUGAGUAACGCGUGAGGAACCUGCCUCGGAGUGGGGAAUAACACACCGAAAGGUGUGCUAAUACCGCAUAAUGCAACGGAAUCGCAUGACUCUGUUGCCAAAGAUUUAUCGCUCUGAGAUGGCCUCGCGUCUGAUUAGCUAGUUGGUGGGGUAACGGCCUACCAAGGCGACGAUCAGUAGCCGGACUGAGAGGUUGAACGGCCACAUUGGGACUGAGAUACGGCCCAG
rnacentral:rRNA from 1 species